rnacentral:rRNA from 1 species
CGUGAGGACGAAGGCCUUCGGUUGUAAACCUCUUUCAGCAGGGACGAAGCGAAAGUGACUGUACCUGCAGAAGAAGCACCGGCUAACUACGUGC